rnacentral:rRNA from 1 species
AUUGAACGCUGGCGGCAGGCUUAACACAUGCAAGUCGAGCGGGGGAAGGUAGCUUGCUACCGGACCUAGCGGCGGACGGGUGAGUAAUGCUUAGGAAUCUGCCUAUUAGUGGGGGACAACAUCUCGAAAGGGAUGCUAAUACCGCAUACGUCCUACGGGAGAAAGCAGGGGAUCUUCGGACCUUGCGCUAAUAGAUGAGCCUAAGUCGGAUUAGCUAGUUGGUGGGGUAAAGGCCUACCAAGGCGGAGAUCUGUAGCGGGUCUGAGAGGAUGAUCCGCCACACUGGGACUGAGACACGACCCAGACUCCUACGGGAGGCAGCAGUGGGGAAUAUUGGACAAUGGGGGGAACCCUGAUCCAGCCAUGCCGCGUGUGUGAAGAAGGCCUUAUGGUUGUAAAGCACUUUAAGCGAGGAGGAGGCUACUCUAGUUAAUACCUAGGGAUAGUGGACGUUACUCGCAGAAUAAGCACCGGCUAACUCUGUGCCAGCCGCCGCCGUAA